rnacentral:rRNA from 1 species
GAUGUACGCUAGCGGCAGGCUUAAUACAUGCAAGACGAGGGGCAGCACGGGCAGCAAUACUUGGUGGCGACCGGCGCACGGGUGCGUAACACGUAUAUAAUCUACCUAUAACAUGGGGAUAGCCUUCCGCAAGAGAGAUUAAUACCUCGUAACACACGAAACGGCAUCGUUAUUGUUGCAAGUUCCGAUGGUUACAGAUGAUAAUGCGUCUGAUUAGCUAGUUGGUAGUGUAAUGGACUACCAAGGCGACGAUCAGUAGGGGAUCUGAGAGGGCUACCCCCCACACUGGUACUGAGAGACGGACCAGACUCCUACGGGAGGCAGCAGGAAGGAAUAUUGUAUAAUGGUGGCAACACUGAUCCAGCCAUGCCGCGUGCAGGAAGACGGCCCUAUGGGUUGUAAACUGCUUUUGUACCAGAGAAAACCUAUCUACGUGUAGAUAGCUGAUAGUAUGGUAAGAAUAAGCAUCGGCUAACUUCGUGCCAGCCGCCGCGGUAAUAC